rnacentral:rRNA from 1 species
CGGGUGAGUAACGCGUGAGGAACCUGCCUCAAAGAGGGGGACAACAGUUGGAAACGACUGCUAAUACCGCAUAAGCCCACGGCUCGGCAUCGAGCAGAGGGAAAAGGAGUGAUCCGCUUUGAGAUGGCCUCGCGUCCGAUUAGCUAGUUGGUGAGGUAACGGCCCACCAAGGCAACGAUCCGUAGCCGGACUGAGAGGUUGAACGGCCACAUUGGGACUGAGACACGGCCCAG